UACGUAGGCAGCGAGCGUUGUUCGGAGUUACUGGGCGUAAAGGGUGUGUAGGCGGUUUUCUAAGUUUGGUGUGAAAUCUCCCGGCUCAACCCGGGAGGGUGCGCCGAAAACUGGGAGACUAGAGUUGCGGGAUGGGGAGAGUAGAAUUCCUGGUGUAGCGGUGAAAUGCGUAGAUAUCAGGAGGAAUACCGGUGGUGUAGACGGCUCUCUGGACCGCCACUGACGCUGAGACACGAAAGCGUGGGUAGCAACAGGAUUAG
rnacentral:rRNA from 1 species